rnacentral:rRNA from 1 species
CCUACGGGUGGCUGCAGUAGGGAAUAUUGCUCAAUGGGGGAAACCCUGAUGCAGCGACGCCGCGUGGAGGAAGAAGGUUUUCGGUUUGUAAACUCCUAUCGGCAGAGAAGAAAAUGACGGUACCUAACGAAUAAGCACCGGCUAACUACGUGCCAGCAGCCGCGGUAAUACGUAGGGGGCAAGCGUUAUCCGGAUUUACUGGGUGUAAAGAGCGCGUAGGCGGGAUAGCAAGUCAGAUGUGAAAUCCUAGGGCUUAACCAUGGAACUGCUUUUGAAACUGUUCAGCUAGAGUGUAGGAGAGGUAAGUGGAAUUCCUAGUGUAGGGGUGAAAUGCGUAGAGAUCAGGAGGAACACUCGUUGCGAAGGCGGCCUACUGGACCGUAAAUGACGCUGAGGCGCGAAAGCGUGGGGAGCAAACAGGAUUAGAUACCCCGGUAGUC